rnacentral:lncRNA from 1 species
GAGGCGAGGCAGAGACCAAGGCACACAUACAUUAAUACACUUGAACCAUCACCAAUCAGCAUAGGAAUUCAAGAUCACACAACCAGCAGCUUCAGUGGAGAAAAACUAUUUUACUGGCAACUCUUUUUAAAGCACCAUCAUUUCAAAUCAGUGCGCUCUUAAACUAUUGACAGGAGCUUUGACAACAAGACAGGAUGCCUCAUAAAGAGGGAAGACUUUAACUAGUGACACGCAGAUGUGUGAGUCCCUAAAUUGUAUGAGAGGACAGUCCACCCAGCUUUCAGACUACUAUAGGCGAGCCCCGUGGGAUACUGCUCUAUCAGCCCAACAUGCAGAACAGUAAGUGACUCCGCGCCCCUUCGCGGCCGCGGAGGGCAGGC